rnacentral:ncRNA from 20 species
UAUAAUGAUGAGUUUUUUGAACACUUAUAUGCUAGAUAGUAUCUGAAAGCAUUUAACUUUAUGAUUACAGUGUUUUCGACAGUUUUAAUCUCUGAAA